rnacentral:tRNA from 1 species
GUAUUAGUGGUUCAGUAGUAGAAUUUCCACCUUCCAUGCAAGAGACCCGAGUUCAAUUCCUGGCCAAUACA